CAGGGUUGGCGGACUGGAGAAGGAGCGAAGAUGGCGGAGUGAGGCGUGCAGCUGGUGACUGGCCUAUGGGCCGGGGGCGGGCCGGCCCCUGGGAGUCCGAGUUCGUCUGUGUGGCCAUGCGAGUUGUCAUUGUUGCUUUAGCUGUCCCGGGCUGUAUUUGAACCGGCCAGCCUCUGUAUACUUGGCCUGCGCCCUACGACUAAGCUACGGGCACCACCCAAGGUUCCUUAUCACAGGAAGAACAUUUUCCUUGACCUUUAGGUGCUUUUGUAUUCCUCUCAAAAACAAAAUGCUAAACUCAGGACUUGGAAAGUAUCUCUGUGUUGUCUCCUACAGUGGGCAGUCCGAUUUCCUUUAUCCAGCCACUUUCCCUAUUCUUGAAAUGUGGAUAUGACUUCUCUACACAUUACCUCCAUGUUUUGGAAUGGAAAAGACCAGGUUUUUUGUUCCACCUCUCAGAUUCAACACAAAGAAGCCCCUAACAUGUGUUUGUCCUGCCUACUUCUCCAGGAUGCAACUGACAUGGGUCUUCUGCUGCUGUUUGCUUAAUUGUAAAGAAAUUAUUUUGCAAACUAAAGGCUAAUGUUCCAUUUGAAACAGGUGCUUAGAUGGUGAUAUUUGUGAAUAUUUUAUUGUUUGUUCCAAAUGAGAAGAAAAAAGUAUGGAGGACUUCAGGGUUUUUUUAAUGUCUUCCAGUUUCAGCCACUAUCAUGAUAAGAACAGUUGAGACUUCACAGUAAAUUCCAAAUAUGCAUUCUAAUUUGAAAUGAAAGAUGCUAAAAAGUUACAUUCAUUGUAUACCUAAUCCUGGCUCAUCCUAUGACAGAUUACAGAGUAAACAAAGAUACUGGUCUACAAUUAAACCUCCGAUGAGAUAAAAGCAGCAUAAAGACAAACCAUCAAAGUUAAUUUCUUAUGCAAACGUACCUUCACAGUGUCUCUGCAAAUACACAGUUUUACAUGUGUAAAUCCCCGUUUUUGGAUCAGAAGAGGGAUUUUUUUCCAAGACAAAAAAGGUGUUUUCUCAGAAGGCUUGGGACAUUUGAUUUCCUAAAAAUGUUUUUUAUUCUAAGGAAGUACCAGAUUGUGCAGCAGUUAACCUAUGAGUGCAUGCUUGAGUUUAGUGAAAGGGUAGUAAAAGAAAACAGUUUUGAGUCUAGUGAUGGACCUUUUCACCUUCCUCGGAGGAAAGACUGCUUCAUUCUUUUUUGUGGAAUCUUAUAUAGCAUUUGAGACUUUGUUUUCCACAUUGCUAAGACUGGAAGAAAAGUGGCAGUAAGUGGUUUUUCAGUUCAAAAGACUUGAUAAACCCAGUAGUAUGGCCUGUCUUCAACUUUGGACAUAGAGGAAUGGGGAGGAGGAGAAAUGAGAGAAUUUUCCAUUUGAUUCCUUUUUAGAGGCAAAAAAUCCCUAAUGCGGCUCCCUCUGACUUUACGGUGUGUUAUAUAGCUCCAUUUUUUGUAAAAGCAUAAAUAACUCUUUUCCUUAGGCCCAGAUGGAUACUUGGAUUUUGACUUAUUCUAGGUGAUAGGGGUAAUGUUAUAUUGAAAAGGCUGGGACUCAGGUACUUUCCUUAGUUGGGACUGAACUUUCUCAUCAGAGAAGGGGCCUCAGAAGCAAUGUUCCCAAAUUUGUGGUUGGGCCAUUGUAGAUUCAGGGUGUGGAAAAGAAACCUCAAACAAGAAAAAUAGUUCCAAUAAGAAAUACAGAUUUUCCUUUUUCUCAUUUAACAUUUAUACCAUAUGAUGAACAGACUAUAGUAGAAAUUUGUUGCUUCCAAAUCAGCAGAGGACUAUUCUGAGUAUUGACAGGUCUUUACAUAAGAAAAGUAAAACUGUUAUGAUCCUUUGUGAGUAGAAUAUGAAUUUAGGACUUAUAGAUAAAAUUAAAAAUAGAUUAUCUCUGUUUUCUGGAAUGUUUGCUCAGGGCCUUGCAUGCAGUGGUGCUUGGAACUUAGGGCAGAUUCACCAAAAUUUGAGUGAUGGAAAUGGCCCAAAAUGGGAAAUGGUGAGCACCCAUAAUGAUUAGUGAGAUUGGUCAACCAAUCUGAAAUGGGAUUAAAAAAGAAUUGUAAAACAAUGUAGAUAAGAUAUAAUUUAUUUUGACCAAAGUCAAAUAUUGAGUCAUAUAGUAUGGUAGAAAUAACUGGUUAAAAGUAACUUAAAUUUUUCUUUAAAUAAUCUCCAAGCUCUCCAAUAAUCUCUGAUGUUCUCCUAAGAUUUGGAAUUAUUCAAGACAGAAUGGAGCCUACACAUACCUGGGUCUCACUGGUAUGUUGAGAAUAUCUUACCAUGGAAAAUUUGUACCUUCCAAUUGUCUAUUAUCCAUUUUCCCCAUGUCCUGUGGCAAUUUUUUGGGUAGGAUCAUUGAGCCAAGGGAUAGGGUACCUACAUUAUGAGCACCAGUGAAACCAGCUGUGGCCUGCUUGUUUGAACAAAUCAGACUAAGCUUCUCCAAAUGCUUGCUUUAUAUUUUUUCAUUUCUCAGUUCAGACGACUGUGUUUAAUGCUUUUUCAAAUUGUUUCUAUAUCUCGCAUGGUUGAUACCAAAUGGCAUUUAACAAAAUGGGUAUAUUCCAGUUGUAGUUACCCAGUAUUUACUUAGUAUAUCUACAUUUUUUCUUGUCUAUUUUGGUCCCCUUCUUGAUGUCAAAAGGUAUAAUUUUAGGCAGGACUAUGCCUCAAUCUGUAGUUGGGCCUUCUACCUUUCCCUUGCUUUCCAAUGUUAGGUGGCCGUUUUUCUUUUGAAAGUUCAACAAAACGGGAUAUGUGCAAUAGGAAUAUAUAUAUGUAUAUUUUAAUACUUGUGGACAAAUGUUACAAGUUGUUUAAGAACAACAAAAUCACCAAUGUCUUCCAUUUUGAGAUGUGUAUAGUUUUGUAAGCAUUAGUGCUUGGUAGCAUAUUGUAGUGCUUAUGUUAGGGGUUAGUGCAUGAGCCUAGUAAUAAAUAUAUACUUCAGGAUGAAUUGUUGAUUAUAACAAAUAGUGUAAAAAGAGUGGAAAGUCUUGACUUUUUCAUAAAUAUGUGAAUCUGUGAUAUUCUCCCUGGGGAAAGGAGAUUAAGGCCAAAUAAGACUCAUUUAUAAAUAGAAAUGUGGAGUCAUACUCUUGAGAUACUGUGUUUGAGGAUAUUUCAGCUUUCCAUGAGGUAGCUGGAAACAAGCUGCCUUUUUGUUUUAUGAAACCUCAAAAUGAGACCCCUUUUCCUGAUUCUGCUUGUUUUUAGUUUGAUGUUAAACUUUGCAUGUUCUUAAACUGUAUUCACAUUGUAUGUCUUUCAGGUUUAUUAUUUUCCUACUCCUUGUAUGUCAAGAAUUUAUUUUACACAUUGCAUGUCAUACUGAGAUGCCCUAUUAGUUGUUUCAGUGAGUGCUUUUCUAAUUUGCAGACUGUUUACAUUUCUUGUCUGCAACAUGCUGUGUGUAAACAUUGUCAGUAAUUCAUAGUGCCCUAGAUUAUUUGUAGCAGGCUCUUACUACUUCCAAAUCUGCUGAAUUGUACACUAAUGAGAUUUUAGAUCUUUUCUAAAGAAUUGAAGAUGGAUGGCUCCUACCUAGGUUACCUGUAAUAGUAGAUAGAGUCUGUCUUGGUUAUAGAAAGCCUCAGUCAGCUUUCACUGUUUACACUUCUCCUGUUGACAACUGUUUUGUUCUGAAAGCAUAUGAUAGCUUUCUGUAGAAUUCUUACCUCUAAAAGCAACCUUGAGAACUUGGAAGUGGCAGUGUUGAGAUGAUGUUAAAAUCUCAAUAUUAAAGAUUUGACUUCAGGAUUUGUUGACAGAUUCUACAGUUGGUAUGAUAGUAAAUGCAAAACUAUUUUAAUGUGGUAUCUCCUGUACAAGCAAGUUAGAGUAAGUAGCCUCUGGCAGCAGAUCUCCAGGGACUUGGGUUUAAAUUCUUAUAGUGUGCUUGAAGCCAAGAGGUUUAGUGCCUGGGAGAACCCAUUUCUGCAAAACAUUUGAUUAAAAAAAAAAAACUCUGAAAAGGUAAUGAGUGCAAAAUAGCACAGAGUAUAGGAAAGGGUAUUUCCUGUUGCAAAAAAAAAAAAAAAAGCCAUAAAAUGAGCUCAUAAUUUCCUUUUUUCAUUUUUUUGAGACAGAGUUUCACUAUGUUGCCCUUGGUAGAGUGCUAUGGCGUCACAGCUCACAGCAACAUCAAACUCUUGGGGUUAAGCAAUUCUCUUGCCUCAGCCUUCCAAGUAGCUGGGACUACAGGUGCCCACCACAAUGCCUAGCUAUUUUUUUUUUUGUUGCAGUUGUCGUUGUUUAGCAGGCCUGGGCUGGGCUCAAAUUUGCCAGCCUCGGUGUAUGUGGCCAGUGCCCUACAGGCGCCGUGCUGAGCUCAUAAUUUUCAGGAGGUAGAAUUUUAGUAGCAAUAACACUUUUGCUUGUAUAGUUAAUUGCAUUAACAAGGUUGUACAAUGGAAUAGGUGGUACUACUUGAGUUUGUGGGGCUUUAGAAUCAGUAAGAGUUGCACAAAAGGAAAAAGAUGUUUUGGAUAAAGAGCAUACAAAAGGUACUUCUAAAACAGUAUGAAUGUAUAUGAAUAUAUCAUUGUGUGGGAAAUGCCAACUUUGGUCUAAGCUAAAGGUUAAAGACCCUACUUUUUUUUUUUUUUUUAUUUCAGUUUGCUUGUUCAUUCUUCGUUUGAAGUACUCUUUUUUUGUUCAUUUUCUUCUUUCUCUGGCAAUGCUUUGUCUCACUGUUUUUGAUGUUAGUAGAGACAGGGUCUUACUCUGGCUUAACUGCUGUUCAUACUGGUCUCGAACCUCUGAGCUCAGGCAAUCCACCCACCUCGGCCUCCCACAGCACUGGGACUACAGGCGUGAGCCACCAUGCCCCCGGCCCCUACUUUUUUUCUAAAGCAGAAGAUAAGAGCUAUUGAAAUGAACCCUUUCUAGUGCUUCACUGUAAAACCCAUGUGCUCCUGCAACCCCACUGAAGCGGUCUUAGUUUUUUGCAUAAGAUGUUCUUUUUAGCAACAGGCAUUUGUUCUGUACAUGGCAUAGUUUUCUAAUUUAUCUCAUUUUUCUCCAUUGGUUUCUUGUACAUUUUUUAAAAAGAAAAGUUUAUAUGUUUUGUGUUUUAAAAAAAGAACAUGGAUAGCUGGAUUUUCCUAAUGCUUAUAGUUAGGGAAUUGGGUUUUAAAGGUGAAAAGGAAGAGGAUUAAAGGGAAUAGACCAUGACUGUAUGCAGGUUUGUGUGUGUGUUUGUGGGGGGGUGUUUUCUAAACCUUGUCUAAUGUAGAUGUGGCCUAUGGCUUAUGAUUGAUUGCUUAUUCUUUUAACAAGGAGAACCCAGCAAACUAAUUUCUUUUUUGAUCUGAGGAAUCACAGAGCUCAUAUCAGGAUACAAGGGUGGAACUAAGGUGACAUCUUAACCCCCUUUCACCUCAUGUCCAUGUUUGCCAUUCAGCACCUUGAAGAUCCCAGAGAAGAUCUGGUCUAUGUUCCCUUGUUUUCCCAGAGGGGAAAAAAAAAAAUAGAAGAUAAGUGGUGUAGAUCUAAGAAAAUAUUUAAUUCUUAUAAGGCAACUCUCACAGAUAGAGAAAAAGGCUAUUUUAAGUUGAUUAUAGCUUUUCUUUGAAUGUCCUGUACCAUUAAUUGGUGUCAGAGAUUUUGAAACAAUAUUUAGAAAUCUGCAUGAUCUUGGAAACAGGGGUACACAUUUCCCAUAACAGCCAUGUUAAACAGUCCUAAAUGCUAAAAUAUACUACAAGUUUUUCAAAAUCUCAAAGUAUGCAGUUAAUUUCUCUACAAAAUUAUUGUGGUCUUAUGUUUACUCUCUAUGUACCUGUGAUAUGCAAAAUAUGAAGAAACCCUUGACCUCCAAGAGUUUACAUUCUCAUGGUGCUGUUGGUGCAAGCAAAUUGCUUCUAGUUUAAGAACAUUGCUUGGCUAUUAAUUAUACCAUAUUUGGAAGGAUCCCUUGGUGAACAAUUUUAAAAAGCAGAGGGCUAUGCUAAAUUUCAGGGCAUUGAUGCUUGAGUUUACACUGUAUUAGCUCUGCUCUUUAUCAUCUUUCCCCCAGGGAACUGUGUAGGUAAUGCUUAUUAAUGUGAAUCAGAAAAGAAAUCAUUCUGCCUAAGAGCAUCUUCAUCUGCCUAUACUACCUAUGCUCUUCUAUGAUAUAGCUGUCAAUCAAUGGUCAAAAGUUAACUGUACUAUAAGACUGUACAUCUCUCAGUUCUCUUUCUUUUCCCAGAGCUUUUACAUUAUUCUCAAAAGGGCAGGAUUUCCAAAUAAGCCUUUUAAAAUUGAUUAGGGGUCCUAAUUUAAACAUUUUUGUUUAUGGCUUGUUUGUUCUGAAGCAGGAUUGUGAUAGAUAGGGAACCUCUGCCUGCAUUUUAAGCAACCCAAACAUUCAGUUGAAACCUUGCAUGUAUCCUUGUUAUUUCCCAUACUCCCCUAAAUCAAGGGUUUUACUUUGCAUGUUUGUUAAACUAAAACUGGAUCUGGUUGAAAGUGCAAGCAAUAGUGGCAGGCCCAUAAGUAUGAUUUUAGAGUACUAAUCUAAUGCAUGACUGAAUAUUUCCAGUGUUGUAGUUAACUAGUAAUUUUAUAUAUGCACUUAAAAUAAUGAAGCAAUAGAGACUUAAACCAAUAGCUUGAAGUUAAUUGGAUUAUUAGUUAUAUUUUUUAAAUUAAAGAUUAUCUUACUUCCAUUGAAAAUGGGAAGUAGAAGAUAAACAGGGGCAACCAUAAGACAUUCAAACUGUCAGGAAUAGGGCAUAACAGUGCUCACCUUCUAACCUCUUGCCUGGUUCCAUUAAUCCCCAAGCAUGUUUGAAAACAAAAGGCACAAACUAAGCAUGUUAAAUAAGUAAGCCGCUAUGGCUAUAAUAUCAGAAAGGUGCAGAGUUUCAGAAAGAAUAGGAAACUAAAGAAUGCCAAUACGGAGCAUAUAAAAUAGGUAUAGGGUUUAUGUUACAAUUUAUGUAGACUAAGUUUAGAGUCACUUAAAACUAUCUUGGAAUUGAGUUUAGUAUGCAUGUAUUUCAGAUGUUUCAGGAUUUUCAGGUAACUUGUAGAUUGUUACUGGUACUGACCAGCCAUCAAAGACCCCUGCAACAAGGGAGACAGUACAAAUAUUGAUAACCUCUGUGUUUUGGCUUGCUAUUAUAAGAAAACUUUUAUAGUCAAGUUUUAUACUUGAUUGUUUAGUACAAUUUCUUGCCUAAAGCAUUUUUUUUUUUUUUUUUUAGUAGUGGGGACUAAGUUGCCCAGGCUAGAAUACAGUGACAUCAACACUAGCUCACUGAAGCCUUGAACUCUUAGACUCAAGAAACCCCCCUGCUUCAGCCUUUGAGUAACUGGGACUAAAAGUGCAUACCACCAUACCAGGCUCAUUUUUUAAUUUUUUUCUGUAAACAAUGGAGUCUUGCUACAGUUCCCAGGAUAGUCUCAAAUUCCUCGCCUCCCAAAGUGUUUAGAUUAUAGGCAUGAGCCACCACACCUGACCCCGAAGUCUUUUGAUACCAGGUAAACAGGUUUUUUAUCUUUAAAAACCAAGAAAAUCCUUGCCAUUUAUUUUAUUGGUGAAAACAUUGCUGUAAUAGCUGAAAAUUUUUCUUGAGAAGAUCUCUGACUUUCGAAUGGGAUUUGUGAUGUCUGAAAGCCUAAAUAAGAGAAUUCCUGACUAAACUAGAUGAUUUUCACUACCUUCCAGAUUUUAUGUUCUAUGGUGAAAAAAGUAAUUUUUCAAUAUUACUUUAACUUAAUAUUCUUUACUGUGGGACUUAGCACUACAAAUAUUUUGAUAGUGAAUUAAGUGGAAUGGUUAAGUUUCCAGAGGUUCAUACUUAAAAUUAAACUUCUUGUCAUUGUGAUGUUUGGUUUCCACACAGGGCAAGUAAAAAGUCAUCCCAUACCUAAAUUUUCUCUUUGCCACUUAUUGAUAGCAUGUCUCCCAACCAAUAAAGUUUAAGGACAGAGUUUCUCUAAAUUCUCUGAUUAUUCCACUAAGGCAUGUUAAAAUAAUUAAUAUUGGAAAACCAAACAUCACAGAUGUCUCCAGGAACUCACAUUUCUAAAUAAAGUCAGAAUAGGUAUCUCAGGAUUACAUUUUUUGAGUUUUGUCUCCUUUGGUGAUGAUAUGUCAUGCUAUAAAUUAAAAUGUAUUUUUUCUCCCAGAAGUAAGGAAAAUGUUCUGGCAAAUCAUUAUCAUCAAUUUGUAAAUAACAGUAAUAGUCCUGGUGCUUAUCUUCAGACCACCCAUUUCUUAUAGUUAUAAAGAUUAGUAUUAGAAUGUCCUUUACAUUAUAGUUAAUUUACUGUCCUAUAUAAUAUCCACAUUAUAGUUUACUGUUCUAUAAGGAGUUGCUCACUGUGUUUAACUUAUCUUUACAUUGCAUCAUUAGUAUAUAUCAUAAUAAUAAAAGAAUUGUAUAGAAUAUGUUUGAAGUAUUACAAAAGGCAGGUUGCUUUUUACUCUAUGCAUCUUUGAGAUUUUGAAGAAGAAAUUUUAUUCUUUGAUGUAAAAAGGAACUGUUAUGAGGGUUCAGAAACUCUGCACCUAUGUAUAUAUAUAUAUUUUUAGCAAUAAAGCAGCAUGGGCUGAGAAUGCA